rnacentral:lncRNA from 1 species
AGACGCAGCCUGCUCCUCUUCGCUCACCCUGCCCCUUCCCCAUCUCCCGCCUUCCCAGGGAUCCCUGGCACUUCCCUGGGCCACAGGGACGGGGGCGUCUCUGCUGCAGGAGAGGGGGAGGUAAGCAUCAGCGUCGGUCCUGGCUGUGCCACCAGUUCUGGGACUAUUGAUCAGCAAGGAAGUGUUGUUGAUUCUUCAGUGUGAAUGGGGAUACACAGAGAGCCAAAAUGUCAUGUUCAUCCUCGAAGUCUAGUCUAUGCUUCAAAGUCACUCUCUAAAUCUGCAGCAUUUUCUUGAGGAAAGAAAGAAAAAGAGAAAAAGAAAGAAAGAGAGAGAAAGAAAAGAGAGAGAGGGAGAGGAGAAGAAAAGAAAAGAAUAAUUGGGCAGCACCAAGGGCAGCAACGAGAAGAAAAGAAAAAAAGAAAAGAACAGAAAGAAAAUAAAAGAAUAACUCGGCACCACCAAUGGCCCCAAGGCCGCAACGCAGAGGCUUUAGGGUUUAGUCAGCACCAGGGACAGCGACAGCAGUUGGGGCCCCCGUUUUGGCUACUGCUAGGGGCUUUGGGAACCACACAAGAGCUGGGGAAAGUAGGAUAGGUGGUGAAACAACUGGCCAGCCUCCCGUUAGUUGAAUUAAGUGUCUACUCGAGAGAGAGAGAGAGAGAGACAACGCGCACCUGAAGAUCGGAGCAUUUACUGAACACCUGGUAUGUGCAGUAUGACUUCCGUUCCAUCCUGGACCACAGCUCUUCCCGUCUCAUACUCAUGGACGACAGUGCCAGGUCUGAUUUUCCCUGAGGACUGGAGUGUCUCCUUAAUGGGGACCAGAGUUUUAUACACUGGAAUGUGAACAAGGGAUCAGUGAGUGAAAUGUAU